AUACGUAGGUGCCAAGCGUUAUCCGGAUUUACUGGGCGUAAAGGGCGUGUAGGCGGUCUUGCAAGUCAGAAGUGAAAUUCCUGAGCUCAACUCGGGCGCUGCUUCUGAAACUGCAGGACUUGAGUGCUGGAGGGGAUAGCGGAAUUCCUAGUGGAGCGGUAAAAUGCGCAGAUAUUAGGAAGAACACCGGUGGCGAAGGCGGGUAACUGGACAGUAACUGACGCUGGGGCGCGAAAGUGUGGGGAGCAAACAGGGUUAGAUACCCUGGUGUUCCACGCCGUAAACGAUGAAUGCUAGGUGUAGGAGGUAUCGACCCCUUCUGUGCCGCAGUUAACACAAUAAGUAAUCCACCGGGGGAGUACGGCCGCAAGGUUGAAACUCAAAGGAAUUUACGGGG
rnacentral:rRNA from 1 species